ACGACCAUACCUGCAGUAGAAUACGGGAUCCCGUCCGCUCUCCCAUAGUCAAGCCUGCAAGGGGCGGAUUAGUAGUUGGGUCGGUGACGACCAGCGAAUCCCCGCUGUUAUAUGUU
rnacentral:rRNA from 1 species